UGCAUUGGCUGUUCCCUCUUCCCCAUACCCUUCCUCUGGUAGCUGCAAGUCUCUCUCCUUCCUUCCUGAGGGUCCGUAUUGCAACGUUGCCUUCUUAGCCAGGCUUUCCAUAGACACUUGAUCUUAAGCUCCCCUGCUCCCACCCCUACCGGGAACCUUCAUAGCCCUCGUCCUGCUUCAUAUCUUCUCCUCAGCAAUUACCACUAUCUAACCUACUGGCUGUUUUACUUAUUUAUCUUAUUUAUUGUCUUUCCUCGCUAGACUAUCAACUUCGUGAAGGCAGGAAUUUGUUUUUGUUUUUCGGCUUGCUUUCCUCUUCUGCAUUCCAGUGCCCUGGCACCUGGGAGGCCUUUAAUCAAAAUUUGAUUAGUGAAUGAAUGAGUGAAUGGGUAUUUGACUCAUAGCAGGUGCUAAAUGAAUAUUGGCUCACACGUUCCUAAGCUGGAGGCCUUUCUGUUGCAGCAGGCUGCUGCCCUGGGGCAUCUGUAACUAGUUUGUCCAAGCUCAUAGGCCCUCUCCACUGCUCUAUUACCAUCUCCUCCACCCAGGGAAACAGGCAGUGCAGCCUGUGGCUGCAGAGCUACAGCUGCAGGGAGACCCCUCCCUGGGCUGCAGGCCUAGGGCAGUGCUGGUGGUAGAGACAGAGGCUCACAUGGCUGCAGAGGGCACCCAAAGCCUGGCAAAGAGCAGAGCACUCACUGAAGCUUGGAGGUUCAGGUCCUGCUUCCCAAAGUUUGCUUGGAAUCUGAGCAAGAAAAAGAACAGAUGGAAUUUGUUUUUGGAAAGGAGAGGAGCAUGGAAUUCGAGAAUCUAGAAUUAGGGGGCAGGCAUCAUGACCUUUUAGUAUUUUUAGCUCGGAUUAACAUGAUGAAUGAAUUUCUUCCAAUUCAAUCCACAAGACUGAUUCCACCUGAAGGCCAUAGAGCGAGGACAAGGAAUCCGUGGAAGAACAGGCUGCUCUCCUUAACUCAAUCUUAUCAUUCAAUUAUCAGCUUGAAAGUUGCCUUCUCAGACAAGGAUGCCAGAUUCCCCUCUGAAAGAUGGGCUAGUUUCUCUUGAAAGGAACUUCUUGCUGCCUGUAGGGCAGAGGGAAUCCUUAGGAGAUGGGUGGGAACACUUCCUUCUUUAUUUCACAAGGAUUUCUUGAGAACCUAUGAUGUUCCAGGCUCUGUUUCAAGCACUCGCAAUAAAGAUUUGACAAAAUCAACAAGGUCCUGCCUUCAUGAAGCUGACAUCCUAGUGAGCGUGCUACACAGCAGCAGUAAACAUAACAGUGAAUGACAGCAUCAGGAAGUCAUGAGUGGCAGGUCAUCUUCCUGCCCCUUCUCUGCAUGCACCAAUCCACCAGCAGGUCCGCAAUUUCUGGUAUUAGCCCAAUUUGUGACUGAGGAUUCUCACCUAUGGAUAGACUUCUCCAUGUUCACGUGCUAUCAGGUCCUGGGCUGGGACUUGAACUCAUGCAUUUCUGAGCUCAAAGCACAACCGUCUGCAACAUUCUUCUGCCUCCGAGAGACAAUGUUGUGCUGGUCUUCAUGCUUUGUGAACUCAGAGCCUGAGUUGAAUCCAGAGUCAGCAAACCACCUCCCACAGGAAAAUCUUACCAGCUGCUUGUUGUGUAUGGCCCGUGAGUUGUAGAUCCUUCUGGUUGUGCUACGUGGGACGCCACCUCAGGAUGGCCUGAUGAGUGGUGGUGUGUCUGUGCCCAGGAUCCGAACCAGCAAAACCCUGGGCUGCCAAAGCAGAGUGCGUGAACUUAACCACUCGGCCACAGGGCUGGUCCCUGGUUUUCACAGUGUUAAGUGGUUGAAAAACACAAAACAAAAGCAGCAUGCUAUUUUAUGACGUGAAAAUUAUAUAAAAUUCAAAUUUCAGUGUCAAUAAAUAAAGUUUCAUUGG
ensembl:lncRNA